rnacentral:lncRNA from 1 species
UUCUUCUUGUACAGCCAAAAAAGCAGUGCAUGUCCUAAUGAUUGUAUGCCACAAGUGUGAUACUUGAAUAGAACAGAAUAUAAUACUGUAUUACAUUAUAUAUAUAUAUACACAUAUAUAUAUAUAAUAUUUAUAUUACAUAGGAGUAAAAACCAGAAUACCUUUGAAAGUGAGUACAUUUUUCCAUCAGUUUCCACAUAUUUUAGGUCAAAGCAAAAAGAUGUCUCUCUGCUGAUGUCAUAGCUCAUAGUCAUAACAAACUCAUGGCAAACUGGACUGGAUUCUUUGGGGAAAGAACGUGUUUAGCCACAGAGUAACUGAAAGGAGAGGAAUCUCUGAAGGUACAGGAAGUGCAUCUGCCUACUGAGAGGAGAGAGAGUCAGAACUGGUGGAGAGUUGUACCACCUCCCAGCAACAUCGCGUGUCUCCUUUCCAAAGGGAAACUCUUGUACCUCUGCCUGUUUAAGGGCAAGCCUGCAGGUGCAGAUGUAGAGAGACAUCCACACUUUCAGUCAGCAGAGCAUUCAAUGCCCUCCUGACUGCAAGCUGUCAUUUUUUGUGUUCAGAGUGAAUGAACUAAUGUGAGGACUGCAUUGUGUUGCUCCAGAGCAUGUAAUGCAUCUGAGGGCAUUUGUUUCAUGCCCUGAUAAAUGGCACAGGGAUGUGAUAAAAUAGUUAAGGAUAAAGACCAGAUGGGAUAGUGCAGAGUGAAAGGAAUCAAAACUAGAGCAACCUAAUACAUUGGUAUGUAUUGUGGGGGACACCCCUACCCCAAACCUUAGGGACACCUGAUUGCAGUAGAACAAAACAGAGCCAUGCUAAGGAUCUGCUGCUCAGGUUUGCUCCUGGGACUUCUUACACUUGUUUCUUAGGAAAUAUGUCUGUAGCAUUCACUUCAGGCCUUGUCUAAGCCUCUCUGUCUUAGACAUUUCACAAGCCAGGGUAAUGUCACUGUCUGCACCUCAGACUGGAGAUAACCUUCUGCCAGCCAGAUGUAAAAGCUUUUGAGACACAGCAUUGUCUGUUCUUCUUCUGACCCUCCAUGAGGAUGUGCUAUGCUUGUGUGGGGGGUCUCCUUAUUCAGGCUCGGUUCUGGUGUUCUCAGGUUUUUUUAGAGCACCUUUGAGGCAAGUUAAAGGCCUAUUUUGAGAGACUUCUCUUUAUACAUGGAAGAAU